UACAGAGGUCUCAAGCGUUGUUCGGAUUCAUUGGGCGUAAAGGGUGCGUAGGUGGCGCGCUAAGUCAGGUGUGAAAUUUCGGAGCUUAACUCCGAAACUGCAUUUGAUACUGGUGUGCUUGAGGACUGGGAGAGGAGACUGGAAUUCCUGGUGUAGCGGUGAAAUGCGCAGAUAUCAGGAGGAACACCGGUGGCGAAGGCGGGUCUCUGGGCCGAUACUGACGCUGAGGAGCGAAAGCGUGGGGAGCGAACAGG
rnacentral:rRNA from 1 species